CAGGAAAUAGUUUAAGUAAAAUGCUGGCUUUGGGAGUCAGUGAUAGGAGUUAAAGUCUCUUUUUCCUGG
rnacentral:tRNA from 1 species